UACAGAGGUCUCAAGCGUUGUUCGGAUUCAUUGGGCGUAAAGGGUGCGUAGGUGGCGGGGUAAGUCAGGUGUGAAAUCUCGGGGCUCAACCCCGAAGCUGCACUUGAUACUGCCUUGCUCGAGUACUGGAGAGGAGACUGGAAUUUACGGUGUAGCAGUGAAAUGCGUAGAUAUCGUAAGGAAGACCAGUGGCGAAGGCGAGUCUCUGGACAGUUACUGACGCUGAGGCACGAAGGCCAGGGGAGCAAACGGG
rnacentral:rRNA from 1 species